rnacentral:rRNA from 1 species
GUGGGGAAUAUUGGGCAAUGGGCGAAAGCCUGACCCAGCAACGCCGCGUGAAGGAAGAAGGUCUUCGGAUCGUAAACUUCUAUCCUUGGUGAAGAUAAUGACGGUAGCCGAGAAGGAAGCCCCGGCUAACUACGUGCCAGCAGCCGCGGUAAUACGUAGGGGGCAAGCGUUGUCCGGAAUGAUUGGGCGUAAAGGGCGCGUAGGCGGCCUGGUAAGUCUGGAGUGAAAGUCCUGCUGUUAAGGUGGGAAUUGCUUUGGAUACUGUCGGGCUUGAGUGCAGGAGAGGUAAGUGGAAUUCCCGGUGUAGCGGUGAAAUGCGUAGAGAUCGGGAGGAACACCAGUGGCGAAGGCGACUUACUGGACUGUAACUGACGCUGAGGCGCGAAAGUGUAGGGAGCAAACAGGAUUAGAAACCCCGGUAGUCC